rnacentral:rRNA from 1 species
UACGGAGGGUGCGAGCGUUGUCCGGAAUCACUGGGCGUAAAGGGCGCGUAGGUGGCGCGGGCAGUCAACGGUGAAAGUUCGGGGCUCAACCCUGAAUCGGCCGUCGAUACUCCUGGGCUCGAGCACUGUAGAGGCAGAUGGAAUUCCGGGUGUAGCGGUGGAAUGCGUAGAGAUCCGGAAGAACACCGGUGGCGAAGGCAAUCCCCUGGGCCUGUACUGACGCUCAUGCACGAAAGCGUGGGGAGCAAACAGG